UCGAUCCCAAACAAAAAUUUCUGGUCGUGCCCCCAAUUGCAUUUGCUUGCCAAAGCAUGAGAAGAGUAGUACUAAAUAGCACAUGAAAAAAGGCUAACGGAGCAGCUGUAGAAUUGUAAAAUUAUAGAUUACUUGUGGCAACUGGCAAAGUGUUAUGUGGGUUGAAGGAUCACUAUUAUAUAUUGCUAGUGGUAUACGUUGAACGUAAAUUUUGGUCUAAACUCUAAAGCAAUAAAAUCUAUCGUUUCUCAUAAUAAUAAUAAAAUCUUUACUGGCUCAAUGUGAUUCGCACUAUAGCUAGUUCUUCUAAGAUCAUAUAUUAUUUAAAUACCAAGUCAGUCAAUUUUGAAUAAAAUUAGUACAGCAUAGUCAAGUUUUCUUUUUGUUUUUUCUUGUGAAGAAUGGUGAAUGGCUGCCUGCAGCAACUCCUGAAAGGUUAAAGGGUUCCUAUGUUUUUGUAUGUUGUCAUAGGUCACGGGAUCGACGUUGUGGAGUUUGUGGACCUGCCUUGAUUAGUAGAAUCAAAGGAGAGAUAGAAUUACAUGGUCUUCAAAGUACAGUUUCUGUUAGCCCAUGCUCACACCUUGGGGAGCAUAAGUAUGCAGGAAAUGUUAUCGUAUUUGGAUCAAAAAUCAAUGGACAAGUCACCGGGCACUGGUAUAGAUAUGUCACUCCAGAGGAUGUACCCGUAUUGCUUGAGCAACAUAUUUUGAAAGGAGAAAUUGUAGAUUGGCUGUGGAGGGGUGAGAUGGGAUUCUCGGAAGAGGAACAGAAGAAAUCCCAAGAAAUAAGGAUCAAGUUAAAUUGCAAGACAGAUGUUGGGAAAAACGCUAAAGAACUGUGCAAACGCAUAAGAGUGAGGACACUGCUGCUUGUCGAUCUCGACUUGAGGUAAAGGGAUGUUGCCAGGGAAAUGGAAACUCAUACUGCUGCCAAAACCCUGUGUUUCCUGAAAAGCUAGAGAAUCUAGAUGCCAAUGUGGGUGCAACAAAGGUGAUUUCUGAUAAAAAUAGCAGCAAGGAACUAAACUUUGGGAUCAAAAGCCUACUUUAGCACGCCCCAGCCUAUGAAUCAUGAUUUUAGUCCCCUGAAACUAUGCUAUUCUUGAUUGAAAUACAUUCUUUCCUUUGGUAAUAGAUUGACUUUGUAACUAUUUUUUCUUAAGUUAAUUGAUUUAUCAGUUGCAAAGAUGUAGGCAAAACCAAAAGGUUUCACAUCACAUCUGGAAGACUGGAACUAAUAAGGAGUCCUACUCUGAUAAUUUGAAGUAUAUAUAUAAGGAAGUGGCAUCCCAGUCUUUGAGUGGACUAUUUUACUCC